CCGUUGGAGGGGUCUGGUCGGUACUAUUGAAGUUCGGUUGGUGCUGUUGAAGAUUGAUGGCUAGAGAGGUACGGAAGACACCAGAGACAGUUGGUCAUUGUAGAAAUCCAGCUGCUGGAGCCCAUCCGUUGUAGAAGUUCAUCUGGAAUCCAUCCACUGUAGAAGUUUGGAUGGAGUCCGAUUCUUACAGAAGUCUGGAAGGAGGCCGCUUACUGCAGAAGCUCAGA
rnacentral:lncRNA from 1 species